UCGCACGCGAUCGAAACCGCCUUUACGGCGGCAGUCGUUACGAUAGUAAUCCUGCCCAGUACGAGAGGAACGGCAGGUUCGGACAUUUGGUUCGGCACUCGCCCGAGCGGGCGUUGGUGCGAGGCUACCAUCCGUUGGAUUACGCCUGAACGCCUCUAAGGCCGUAUCCACUCUGGAGAAAACAGCCGGGCCGGCUUUCGGGCCGGUCUCGGGAAAACGAUCGUCCGUACGGCGGAGGAGAACCCAGUAUACAUCGGGAAGGCGUCAAAGCACGGACCUUCGGGUCCACGACGAGCCGGAUUCUCGGCCGCGCGGGCUCUCGGGCCCGCUGGCCGUGCAUCAACGGUGAACGCGGUGAUCCCGCGGCAAACGGUGUGGGUUUUCGGAAUCGUCUGCAGACGACUUAAGUACCGGGCUGGGUGUUGUACUCGGCAGAGCAGUUACCACGCUGCGAUCUGUUAAGACUGCCCUUUGCCUCGGGGGUUCGU
rfam:Acyrthosiphon pisum strain LSR1 Contig1014333, whole genome shotgun sequence.